rnacentral:rRNA from 1 species
AUUGAACGCUGGCGGCAGGCCUAACACAUGCAAGUCGAGCGGAUGAAGGGAGCUUGCUCCUGGAUUCAGCGGCGGACGGGUAAGUAAUGCCUAGGAAUCUGCCUGGUAGUGGGGGAUAACGUCCGGAAACGGGCGCUAAUACCGCAUACGUCCUGAGGGAGAAAGUGGGGGAUCUUCGGACCUCACGCUAUCAGAUGAGCCUAGGUCGGAUUAGCUAGUUGGUGGGGUAAAGGCCUACCAAGGCGACGAUCCGUAACUAGUCUGAGAGGAUGAUCAGUCACACUGGAACUGAGACACGGUCCAGACUCCUACGGGAGGCAGCAGUGGGGAAUAUUGGACAAUGGGCGAAAGCCUGAUCCAGCCAUGCCGCGUGUGUGAAGAAGGUCUUCGGAUUGUAAAGCACUUUAAGUUGGGAGGAAGGGCAGUAAGUUAAUACCUUGCUGUUUUGACGUUACCAACAGAAUAAGCACCGGCUAACUUCGUG